UUCGCCUACCGCAUUUGUGAAAUGCAAGGUCUGCAUCGAUUAUCCCGGUGCAGGCCACAUCGUCCAAGUGCUGAGGGUCCCUGGCGAAAGCCUAGAACAAUCAGCAGCCAGUGUCCGUCGGGCCUGGUGCACAGAUCAAACGACGAUGACCCGUAGAGGUUGAGAUAUGAUCGGUCUUGGCCUGGAAGGGCCCGGAGACGCGGAACCUGCGGAAGGAUCAUUAC
rnacentral:rRNA from 1 species